rnacentral:rRNA from 1 species
GACGAACGCUGGCGGCGUGCUUAACACAUGCAAGUCGAACGGAAAGGCCCUGCUUUUGUGGGGUGCUCGAGUGGCGAACGGGUGAGUAACACGUGAGUAACCUGCACUUGACUUUGGGUUAACUUCAGGAAACUGGGGCUAAUACCGGAUAGGAGCUCCUGCUGCAUGGUGGGGGUUGGAAAGUUUCGGCGGUUGGGGAUGGACUCGCGGCUUAUCAGCUUGUUGGUGGGGUAGUGGCUUACCAAGGCUUUGACGGGUAGCCGGCCUGAGAGGGUGACCGGCCACAUUGGGACUGAGAUACGGCCCAGACUCCUACGGGAGGCAGCAGUGGGGAAUAUUGCACAAUGGGCGGAAGCCUGAUGCAGCAACGCCGCGUGCGGGAUGACGGCCUUCGGGUUGUAAACCGCUUUCGCCUGUGACGAAGCGUGAGUGACGGUAAUGGGUAAAGAAGCACCGGCUAACUACGUG